rnacentral:rRNA from 1 species
UCGGCCGGGCACUUUGGUGGGUCUGCCGAUGUUAAGUCGGAGGAAGGUGGGGACGACGUCAAGUCAUCAUGGCCCUUAUGUCCGGGGCUACACACGUGCUACAAUGGUCGGUACAAAAGGGUCGCCAACCCGCGAGGGGGAGCAAAUCCCAAAAAACCGGCCUCAGUACAGAUAGGAGUCUGCAACUCGACUCCUUGAAGUUGGAAUCGCU